rnacentral:lncRNA from 1 species
CUCAUAUUUCAGAACUAUCAUCAGCAUAAAUGAGGAGAAUCAGUGUAAGAGGUGGAACUGAUUCAGAACCAUAAACUUUGGAACCCAGAAGGAUCUUGGAGUUCUCAUUCAGUGAUUUUUCACAGAAGAGAAAGAUUGGAGCUGCUGCCCAAAGGAUUGGAAGUCAUUUAGUUCCAACUGCUACUUUUAUUUCUACUACACCAAGAAAUUGGACUGAGAGUGAGAGGAACAGCUCAGAAAUGAAGGCUGACCUGCUGGUGAUUAACACCAAGGAUGAACAGUGACUUACCAUUUUACAUAUGGCAAAACUGGCAAGAGGCUGUUUGAACUACAAACAUAACAUUCACAUUUAACCUGCUUCAGUGAAGGGACAAGCAUAGCAGGUAAGGUGUUGCGAUGUCUAACCAGA